GUGGGGAAUAUUGGACAAUGGGCGCAAGCCUGAUCCAGCCAUGCCGCGUGAGUGAUGAAGGCCUUAGGGUUGUAAAGCUCUUUCAGUAGGGAAGAUAAUGACGGUACCUACAGAAGAAGCCCCGGCUAACUUCGUGCCAGCAGCCGCGGUAAUACGAAGGGGGCUAGCGUUGUUCGGAUUUACUGGGCGUAAAGCGCACGUAGGCGGAUCGUUAAGUCGAGGGUGAAAUCCUGGAGCUCAACUCCAGAACUGCCUUCGAUACUGGCGAUCUUGAGUCCGGAAGAGGUGAGUGGAACUCCUAGUGUAGAGGUGGAAUUCGUAGAUAUUAGGAAGAACACCAGUGGCGAAGGCGGCUCACUGGUCCGGUACUGACGCUGAGGUGCGAAAGCGUGGGGAGCAAACAGGAUUAGAAACCCGGGUAGUCC
rnacentral:rRNA from 1 species